UAAAGUCUUGGGAGCAAAGGCUUUGAUGACUCCAUGGAAUAUAGCCGUUAGACUUGAUUUGCUUCCUUCCAAAAGAGAAACUUGUGAAGACUUGUAUCUUGAUAGCUUCUGGACGUGGCCAUGAUCUUCAAGCCUUCCUGAAAUACUCCUUGGCCUCUGUAAAAGAGAAUAUGGCCGUUGGUUUUGGGCAAAAAUCUGUAGAAACUCCUCCAAAGCAUUUAGUGUAGAUGUUGCCAAAUAUGGAAGGUUGAUGGGAAGAGAGAUCCGCCUGAUCUCCUGGGUGCUGGUGCAGCUGAGGACGUCUUGGAUGUCUUCUGAAUGGUCUAGAGUAUCUCC
rnacentral:lncRNA from 1 species